UAGUUUUUAGUGUAAUGUGCACGAUAAAUUUUGAUUUUAUAAGAAAUAAAUUUAAUUUAUUAAAACUAA
rnacentral:tRNA from 1 species